GUGUAAGUUACAAGCUCAAUCAAUGGAAGCUGGCCAGGAGAAAAGGUCCUUCAGGUGCAGGAAUCAGAUGCAAUGAUGAUGAAGAGGCUCGCAGAACCAUCAUCUGCUUCUUUGGACACACUGGUUGAUGAUCCCUGAUUCUCAGAGGUACAUCGUGGUGAAUUGGUCAAGUGGACUUUUACCUUGCAUGGCCCUGUACAAAGCCGUAUGACCAUCUGCCUGCACUCUGAGCCGAGGUAGCAUGAGGAUAGACAGAGGCAUGAGGCAGUGGAGGAGGGUGAGAUGGAGGGACAGAUUAAGCAGAUCUUAAUAUGGGAGUAAUUCACAAGUUACAUCAUCAUUUAAUAAACCUCACGUCGUUUCCAUGUUAUUUUAUUUAAUCAAUCUCAAGUCCGUUAUCUGACAAUUGCGCUCUUUGUUCAUAAAUGUCAUUAAUGACCAUGACAAUUGUAUUAGUAAAUAUCAUUAGUAAAUAUUGACUUAUUAAUUGUGUUUUGUAAGAUUUCUGAUGUGAUUUCUGAAUAUGCCCUGUAAAAUUACAG
ensembl:lncRNA